rnacentral:ncRNA from 1 species
UGCGAUGAGUCGAGAAAGAUUAUUACGAUAAUCUUUUACAGACGGCCAACGUUAACACCCGAAUGGUGGUUGGUGCAAGGGAAGUUGUGGAACUA